AACUUUGCGCAGUGGCAGUAUCGUAGCCAAUGAGGUUUAUCCGAGGUGCGAUUAUUGCUAAUUGGAUUAAUAAUGAUUCUA
rnacentral:snRNA from 1 species